GACGAAGGGGGCUAGCGUUGUUCGGAAUUACUGGGCGUAAAGCGAGUGUAGGUGGUUGUCCAAGUUGGAUGUGAAAGCCUUGAGCUCAACUCAAGAAAUGCAUUCAGGACUGGAUGACUAGAGGACCGGAGAGGAUAGUGGAAUUCCCAGUGUAGUGGUGAAAUACGUUAGAGAUUGGGAAGAACACCAGUGGCGAAGGCGGCCUAU
rnacentral:rRNA from 1 species